CCCCUCUCAGGGUCGCACUGGAGAGUUUCCAGUAUUCUACCAGUCUCGACUAUGGGAGGGAGAGUUAGGAAGAGACCUACCCAUUCCAUUCCUAGCUUGGGCAAUGGCUAGCGAGUGGAAGGCCAUCAGCUACAGGU